rnacentral:rRNA from 1 species
CCUACGGGUGGCAGCAGUGGGGAAUAUUGGGCAAUGGGCGCAAGCCUGACCCAGCAACGCCGCGUGAAGGAAGAAGGCUUUCGGGUUGUAAACUUCUUUUCUGAGGGACGAAGAAAGUGACGGUACCUCAGGAAUAAGCCACGGCUAACUACGUGACAGCAGCCGCGGUACUACGUAGGGGGCACGCGUGAUCCGGAUUUAUUGGGUGUAAAGGGCGUGUAUGCGGGAAGUCAAGUCAGAUGUGAAAACUUCGGGCUCAACCCUGGGCCUGCAUUUGAAACUGGUUUUCUUGAGUGCGGGAGAGGCAAUCGGAAUUCCAGGUGUAGCGGUGAAAUGCGUAGAUAUACGGAGGAACACCAGGGGCGAAGGCGGAUUGCUGGACAGUAACUGACGCUGAGGCGCGAAAGCGUGGGGAGCAAACAGGAUUAGAUACCCUAGUAGUC